rnacentral:rRNA from 1 species
ACGAACGCUGGCGGCGUGCUUAACACAUGCAAGUCGAACGGAAAGGCCCUGCUUUUGUGGGGUGCUCGAGUGGCGAACGGGUGAGUAACACGUGAGUAACCUGCCCUUGACUUUGGGAUAACUUCAGGAAACUGGGGCUAAUACCGGAUAGGAGCUCCUGCUGCAUGGUGGGGGUUGGAAAGUUUCGGCGGUUGGGGAUGGACUCGCGGCUUAUCAGCUUGUUGGUGGGGUAGUGGCUUACCAAGGCUUUGACGGGUAGCCGGCCUGAGAGGGUGACCGGCCACAUUGGGACUGAGAUACGGCCCAGACUCCUACGGGAGGCAGCAGUGGGGAAUAUUGCACAAUGGGCGGAAGCCUGAUGCAGCAACGCCGCGUGCGGGAUGACGGCCUUCGGUUUGUAAACCGCUUUCGCCUGUGACGAAGCGUGAGUGACGGUAAUGGGUAAAGAAGCACCGGCUAACUACGUG